UACAGAGGGGGCAAGCGUUAUUCGGAAUUAUUGGGCGUAAAGGGCGCGUAGGCGGCUUGGCAAGUGGAUGGUGAAAUCCCUCGGCUUAACCGAGGAACUGCCAUCCAGACUGCUUUGCUUGAGGCCGGGAGAGGUGAGUGGAAUUCCCAGUGUAGCGGUGAAAUGCGUAGAUAUUGGGAGGAACACCAGUGGCGAAGGCGGCCUGCUGGGCAGUGGCUGACGCUGAUGCGCGACAGCGUGGGGAGCAAACAGG
rnacentral:rRNA from 1 species